GCCGCAGUCGGAUUCCCCCCGCCCGGCAGCGGCUGCUCUGAGCCUCGGCUCUGUGCAGCUGAAGAGCCGAGCGUCCUUUGCCCGAGCGCUACCUUCCCGGUUUGCCGUGCAGCCCGGAGUGUCACCACAGAUAUCGAUCAUGGCUUAAUUAUACCAAAGGAUGACAUGAAGUUGUCACACGGGAUGCUGACUGCUUGAUGACUAAUGCAUGCUUUACCAUUGCAUUAACUGAGGACCACAUAAAAUUGCUUCACUAAUUCAGAGCAGAGCACUAUGAGAAUCUUAUGCCGGGGAGUAGAAAGAAGAAGGGGAAAGGAUGAAUAUGUGCAUCGAAAGAAAUGGCACUAAUGAACCACUGUGAAAAGAAAUACCCCAGUUUUGCAAAGAAAAAAGCAUCAGCUUUUAAGACAAAGUCGUAUGUCUGUAGACUAAUUUGAAUAGUUCUAAACUUUAAACCUAUGUAUCAGGUUACUGGACAGCCUCAUAAUUUAAGGCAAAGAAAUUAGAUAGUGAUGCACAAAAACUGUUACAUUACCCUUCUUGUGGAUAUCUGCACUGCACACACCACUGCCUAAACUCUAAAAGUCUUGUCCUAGUGUAACACCGACGGACCUCAGUUGUCAGGAUCAAACCGGGGACCUCUGGAGCAUAGUACAUGAGCCUCUACUGCAUGAGCGAAAAGCCAACUGGCUGUUAAGCAGACUCUUUCUCUCUGAGUGGUCUUGGUGCCACUAGAUGGUAUAGAACACAACUCCUGACAGGUGUGUGGGUUACACCAGCUCAGUGUAAAACUGGAUGGAUUCUAUGAAAACAGACUUUCCUCUGGUUUUUCUUAAGUCCCAGACUUAAAAAAACCUCCAUGAAGACAUCCAUAUGGGAUUCCUCCCCAGUCAUUCUAUCAGAGGUACAGAAUUUUCCUGCUCAUGAAACAGUCUGUAGCACUCUCCCUCAAGCCUGGUGGAUCCUGGGGAAGCCAGUACCAGGCAUGUGGUAGCUUCGUAGAAAUGAUAAUACAGCUGUAUUGUAUUUUCUGAGUAAUGGCUGUAUGGUUAGAAGGGGGAGAACGUCUAUGAUGAGCUGCAUGCUAUUCUAGGGGGUCCCCUACAACUACCCCACCCCUGUGCUUCCCUCCUUCCCCACC